rnacentral:rRNA from 1 species
AGUGAACGCUGGCGGUAGGCCUAAUACAUGCAAGUCGAACGGAAGCAUAGUAAGAGUUUGCUCUUAAGGGUGGCGAGUGGCGGAUGGGUGAGGAAUACAUAGGCUUCUAAUUUUUCGUGGGGGAUAACGUAGGGACAGUUAUGAUAAUAGCGCAUAUGAUCUACGGGAGAAAGCAGGAGAUCUUGGGACUUUGCGUGUUUGAAUGAGAUGACGUCGGAUUAGCUAGUUGGCGAGGUAAAGGCACACCAAGGCAACGAUCCGUAGCCGGUCUGAGAGGAUGAUCGGCCACACUGGAACUGAGACACGGUCCAGACUCCUACGGGAGGCAGCAGUAGGGAAUAUUGCACAAUGGGCGCAAGCCUGAUCCAGCCAUACCGCGUGAGUGAAGAAGGCCUUCGGAUUGUAAAACCCUGUUAUUGGGAAAGAAAAACAGCAUGAGAAUACCCCGCUGUUCUGACGGUACCCAAAGAAAAAGCACCGGCUAACUUCGUG